AAAAGAUUCUUUUUACUUAAAAAAAAAAAAGAGGUUUUUAACAUAUUAAACAAAGAAAAAAUAUAUAACUGUUUUCACACAUGCCCUUGUGCAGAAUUCAGUAAAUAACUUAUAUGUGAAAAGGCGUGUUCCUAAUGUGUAAUUUGGAAGAUGACUUGUGCAAAUGUUAUAUGGUCCUAGUUGUUUAAUUAUGUAAUCAACUAUCUGUGGUUGCCGCAGUUACGUUAAUGGUUUACUUAAUUUGUGAAGUUCAGCUGAUCUUUUUUGUUGCUGAGUGGAAGGGUUGAAUCUGUUUGAGUUGUGACUUCUUCUAUGACUCUGGUAUUUAAAAUCUCCAGUUUCCAAGAUUGAACAUUCAAAUAACACUCCAUAUCACCUGACUAUAAUGAACUCAUUAUCCCAAAAAUACAUCCAUCACUUGGGAAUAUAUUAUGAACAACAGUAAAAUAUUCUUGAGAUUUUUGAUAGAAGUUAUCUACAUUAACUGCUUUCUAUUCUAAGAACCCUGAAAAUUUUGAUUUGACUAGGAUUUUCCAAUAUUAAGAUCUGCCCCAUAAAUAUAUGGAAAAUGAUACAUCCUCCUAAGUCAUUUUAAUAAAUAGCCUCCUAAUUUCUACAAGGAAAAUAUGGUGUGCUUAGGUUCAUUGAUGCAUAAUUGUAUCAAUAGAUGUCCUUAAAUAUCUUGGUUUAGCUAUAUUCUUUUCAAAAUUUCCAUGGCAGAUUCCUGCAUUCCCAAGCUUUGCAGUACCUGAUCGACCCCGAGAGAUUCAAAUGGAAGCAGCUUAUUUUUGUUAGUCAAGGUAUGAAGUGCCCUGUACUAGUGGGAUUUCUUGAGGCUGAAUAUGCCAAGUACAGGUAAUAAGGAUCCAUCAGCUGCCUUCAAUGAAGAUUUUUGUUAACAGAGAUAACAGAAUAUUGCAAAUGAUUCAAUUGUAGAUGAUUAUUGUGAGAUUUUUGCUAUUCACUUUUUAUUAUUUCCUUUCCUUUGAAAUUCCUUGAAAAAAUUUAUUACAUUGACAAGAUCAAGUUGGGCGAAACCUCUUGUGCAGCAACCCACCUUGUUUGCUUCUGGUUUUAUUUUGGACUACUAGACACCUUACCUAUUUAAUCUUGGUCGAGUCGGAGAAAAUUAGUUGGGACUCCUAGUUCAUCCCAAUCAUUACUCUACAAAUAAUUUGAAGUUAUCCCCAUCUGAGCCACUCUCUCUUUCCUCAACCUCAAGAUUUCUUAAAAUUGAUAUCUGGUGGCACACAU